rnacentral:piRNA from 1 species
UGGUAAAAUGAAGAAUUUAAAGAGGA